rnacentral:rRNA from 1 species
AGCGAACGCUGGCGGCAGGCCUAACACAUGCAAGUCGAACGGAUCCUUCGGGAUUAGUGGCGGACGGGUGAGUAACACGUGGGAACGUGCCCUUUGGUUCGGAACAACUCAGGGAAACUUGAGCUAAUACCGGAUGUGCCCUUCGGGGGAAAGAUUUAUCGCCAUUGGAGCGGCCCGCGUCUGAUUAGCUAGUUGGUGAGGUAAAGGCUCACCAAGGCGACGAUCAGUAGCUGGUCUGAGAGGAUGAUCAGCAACAUUGGGACUGAGACACGGCCCAAACUCCUACGGGAGGCAGCAGUGGGGAAUCUUGCGCAAUGGGCGAAAGCCUGACGCAGCCAUGCCGCGUGAAUGAUGAAGGUCUUAGGAUUGUAAAAUUCUUUCACCGGGGACGAUAAUGACGGUACCCGGAGAAGAAGCCCCGGCUAACUUCGUGCCAGCCGCCGCGGUAAUAC